AGGGUUGUAAAGCAUGUGCAGCUUCAAGAGACCAAUGGGUGAAGGCCUUUUUCAGCCUGUGGAACAUGGAUUUUCAACACCUCUGACAGCCUGGGUCUGUUUGAACUGUGCUGGAUAUGCUGACGACACUUCUGGUACUAGAAGACUUUAUCUGCCUUCCUGGAAAAGUCAGAGGAGGGAUUACACACCACAGGUUUUCCUAGACUUAACAGUGUUGUCCCAGGGAUAAGGAAAGACAAGAAGAAACAUCUGCUUAUCUCUUGACAAGAGGUGAGUCAGGGGUCAGGUACAGUCAUCAACUUGGCAAGAUGAAGAGA